rnacentral:rRNA from 1 species
UACGUAGGGGGUCUGAAGCGUUGUCCGGAUUUAUUGGGCGUAAAUGAGGCUCGUAGGCGGUCAUGUCGCGUCGGCUGUGAAAACCCGGAGCUCAACUCCGGACCUGCAGUCGAUACGGGCAGACUGGAGUUCGGCAGGGGAGACUGGAAUUCCUGGUGGUAGACGGUGAAAUGCGCAGAUAGUCAAGGAGGAACCACCGGUGGCGAAGGCGGGUGUCUGGGCCGAUACUGACGCUGAGGAGCGAAAGCGUGGGGAGCGAACAGG